UAUUGAAGUAAUUGUAGAUUGACAUUUCAUUUACUUAAAAUGAUAUUUUUUUUCAGGGACGCAACACUUGCAGAAAUAUUUUGGUGUAACUGAAAAGAAAGAUACUUUCUGGAUUUAUCCUGAACAAGAAGUGGAAUUGUUGAGUUAAUGCCCAGAAGUGGCUCUUCUGCCCUGAGCUACACCUGCCAGCCCAGAAGGCCGUCACACACGCGUGCCUACAACUU
rnacentral:lncRNA from 1 species